rnacentral:rRNA from 1 species
GAUGAACGCUGGCGGCGUGCCUAAUACAUGCAAGUCGAGCGAACAGACGAGGAGCUUGCUCCUCUGACGUUAGCGGCGGACGGGUGAGUAACACGUGGAUAACCUACCUAUAAGACUGGGAUAACUUCGGGAAACCGGCGCUAAUACCGGAUAAUCUAUUGAACCGCAUGGUUCAAUAGUGAAAGACGGUUUUGCGGUCACUUAUCGAUGGAUCCGCGCCGCAUUGGCUAGUUGGUAAGGUAACGGCUUACCAAGGCAACGAUGCGUAGCCGACCUGAGAGGGUGAUCGGCCACACUGGAACGGAGACACGGUCCAGACUCCUACGGGAGGCAGCAGUAGGGAAUCUUCCGCGAUGGGCGGAAGCCUGACGGAGCAACGCCGCGUGAGUGAUGAAGGGCUUCGGAUCGUAAAACUCUGUUAGUAGGGAAGAACAAAUGUGUAAGUAACUAUGCACGUCUUGACGGUACCUAAUCAGAAAGCCACGGCUAACUACGUG